GUUAGGACUUUUUUCUUAUAAAUGUGUCCCCUUUGGUCAACAUUGUAAGCUGAUUAUUUUUCAUAUUACUGAAUUAAAACUCCAGAUAAGAGUUCUUCUACCCUUUUGCCAUUUUUAUUUGUUUCAUACAUCUUUCUUCUCUCUUUUUAUCAAAACAUGGUUUAGGCUGCAUCAGUUGGUAUCAGAGUCCAAUCAAUCCUCGAGCAGUGAUUCUUUCUUACA
rnacentral:lncRNA from 1 species